rnacentral:tRNA from 1 species
UGGACGGAAGCCUGCUGGUUUAUGGCAUCUAGCUGUUAACUAGAAGUUUGUGGGAUCGAGGCCCGCUUGUCCAG